GAUGAACGUUGGCGGCGUGCCUAAUACAUGCAAGUCGAACGAAGACUGUAGUAAUACUGUCUUAGUGGCGAACGGGUGAGUAACGCGUGGGUGACCUGCCCCGAAGUGUGGGAUAACAGUUCGAAAGGAUUGCUAAUACUGCAUAACAUCCAAGAGAUUAGACGCUUUUGGAUUAAAGAAGUAAUUCGCUUCGGGAGGGGCCCGCGUCCCAUCAGCUAGUUGGUAAGGUAAUGGCUUACCAAGGCGAUGACGGGUAGGGGACCUGAGAGGGUGGCCCCCCACAAUGGAACUGAAACACGGUCCAUACACCUACGGGUGGCAGCAGUAGGGAAUAUUAGUAAUGGGCGAAAGCCUGAACUAGCAACGCCGCGUGUGCGAAGAAGGCCUUCGGGUUGUAAAGCACUUUUUGAGAGGAUGAGGAAGGACGGUACUCUCAGAAUAAGUCUCGGCUAACUACGUGCCAGCAGCCGCGGUAAAAUCAACGUGUA
rnacentral:rRNA from 1 species